UAUGUGUAACAGCUGCUGAAGUAAAGUUAACUUCAUCGUUUUACCACUAGGAGGAGCUGUCGCAUUGGUAAUGCUAAAAGUAAUUUGCUUGGUGCGCAGUUAAUUUGUAUAAAUAUUGUUUUUAUUUUCCUAAUAUUGUAAAGUGCUUAUUAGGCCAAGGUAAUGCAUACUAGUGAUAAUAAUUGGGUUUAAACUAAUAUAAAAAUUGUAAAUGCUAAGUCAUGUGAGAGGGCACGGCCAGGUUACUUCCUGUUUUGUUGCUAAGCUAAAGAGAAGCAGCCGACACGGCAGACAAGGCUCCCGACCGAGUGUUAAAUAAAAGUAUAAAAGAAAAGAAAUAAGCAACUUCCCAAGUUCACACCGUUUGCUCACUUAGCAGGCCAAAGUGGUAUGUUUAUUUUAUUAUUUGUGUUUAUGUUUGUGUCAAUGUAUUAAAGAAGCAAAGCUAAUUGUAUGUACAUCACUUUUCCCCACCAGUUCUACGGUGUACUCUGUGAUGUUAAAGCCUCAAGAAAGUCACAGUAAAACAUCAGUAAAAGAAAAGAACCCUUGUGUCUUCGAUUUGUGAGCAAGCCGGCAUAGUAGAACACUUACUGCCCCGGAGAAGGCGAAGGACAACACGAGGUGGUCGGGACCGAAGCUGCUAGCAAGAAAUGCUACACCACAUGCAAGGAAAGUAUCACGUGCUUGGACAAAUGCAUUGAACAAGUAAAGAAGCAAGCUAACAAGUAAAAGGCUUAAAGGCAAGCACAAAAGUCAGUGUCUUGGAAGGAGCACAAGUAUUUGUGAGCUGUUAUUAAAGAUUCAAUUGCAUCCAAUACCCACACGUGGCAUUUCUCUGCAAAGGAAUAAAUCUUAUCACAAGGAUAAAGAGAUUAAAGCAAGUCAAUGAACAAAACAAGCACUAAAAUAACGCAAAAUGGCAGAUGAAGAUAAAGUUAUAACUCAGACCACUGAGGAAAGCAGUGCAAAUAAUGAUGUACAAAAUGAUGAAAAUGAGGAACAAAAUACAGAAGAGCAGACAAAUGAAGAAGAAACGCCACAGCCCUCAUCCUCAGUUGAAAGCACACAGACAGAAAAUGUACGCAGAAGUCAGCGUGUACGCACACUCACUGAAAAAGGGAAAUCCUUGCAACAAGAAAAGCUAAGUGAUUUAAUAAAUGAUUUUGAGCGUCUUUAUAAGAAGUGGAAAUACCAAAUAAACGGUUUUAAAAGAAUGUUGAAACAUAAAGACUUUGAUUUAAUACCUGAAACUGUGAGUGUGAUUAACACUAUGAUGAGUGAUGUCUGUGCCAUCUAUGAUGCUAUCAGAAAGAUAGAAAGUCCUGAUAUUGAAAUAAGAAGAAAAUGUGAUGUGUGCUGGGCUAUCAGUGAAACGGCUAGAGCAAAGGCUAAGUGUCUUUUGGAAGAAAAUGGUGAUCCAAAUAGCAUUCUCUGGCCUGACUCAGAGUCAGUGUUUGAAAGUAGUACGUCCAGUGCUUCUUCUAGGAUUACCUACAAGUCAAAGUCUGUGUCAAAGAGGUCUCAACACUCCUCUAUAACACUGCGACAAAAACAAGAAGCUGCAGCUGAAGUAGCAGCUACUGAAGAAGUCAUUAAAAUAAUGAAAACACAGCAUCAAUGUGAGGAAGAAAUAAGAGAGCUUGAAGUUGAGGAUGCAAAGAAAAGAGCUCAAUUUCUAACAGAGAGCACCACAAUAAAGACAAAGUUAGAAGAAAAGAGAAAGGAAGUGGAACUAUUAAAAGAGCUACAAAAGCAUAAUGCAGCACAAGCAAGAUUAAAGGUGUAUGCCGAAAGUUUAAGCAGUGAGGAUGAAGAAAGACCUCUUGUUAUCCAACCUAAGGAAACACGAAGCAGUUCUCUCCCACAAACAAACACUCUAAAUGUACACUCAAAACCAUUCAUCCCUUCACAAGCCAAAUGUGCCACAACUCAACCUACUGCACCUCUCCAAGUGUCUCAAACAACUAUCUCCACUGCAAAUGAAGCAGCCUCCAUUGAUCUUGUAAAGACUCUAGCUGAAGCAAUCACUGCAAACAGAAUCCCAAUCCCGGAGCCUGCAAUCUUCACAGGUGAUCCACUUCAAUAUAACGAUUGGAAAUUGUCAUUUCAAACAUUAGUUGAUCGCAAAAACCUACCAAUACAAGAAAAGCUCUUCUACUUAAGAAAGUAUGUUGGAGGUUCAGCUAAGAAGGCUAUUGAAGGAAACUUUUUAGUUGGAACAGACACUGCAUAUUCUGCAGCCUGGGAAAUACUCAAUGAAAGAUUUGGAGAUCCUUUUGUUAUAGGAAAGUCAUAUCGUGACAAGAUUCAGUCGUGGCCUAAAAUCAACACCAAAGACAGCAAAGAUCUACGUGAGUUCGCAGACUUUCUAAGCAGUGUUGAAUCAGCCAUGCUCUACAUUCAAAGUUUACAAGUGUUGAACGACUGUGUCGAAAAUCAGAGAAUAGCAGCAAAGCUACCUGAUUGGCUAAGCGCACGUUGGAACAGAAAAGUGACUGAAUUCCAAGAUGAACAAAAAAUGUUUCCUGAUUUCUCUCAUUUUGUCAAGUUCUUGAAUAAAGAAGCCAGAAUUGCAUGCAAUCCAAUCACAUCACUGCACGCAAUAAAGCCAACUGAACCGGAUAACAAGCAUUCUUUCAAGGACAAGCCAAGACGAAACAACAUGCUGAAUGCUAAAACACUCAGCACAAGCUCAAACGAAAAGACAAACAUUACAUGUCUCUUUUGUAAGAAACUAGGACACACAAUUCACAAAUGUCGAAAGCUACUGGAAAGGUCAGUUGAAGAAAGAGUAAGGUUUGUGCAGUCAGAAAAACUAUGCUUUGGUUGCCUAAAGCCAGGUCACAACUCAAAGAACUGUACAUCCAGAAGUGUAUGUGACAAAUGUCAGAAACCUCAUCCAACUUGUCUACAUCAAGAAAGAGAAAAAAGAGAUAAAGAACAACAAGUAAAGGAUAAUCAAGAAAGACCAAAGACAAAUAUGACUACAGAAAAGGUGUCAGAAACACAAGAACAAGAAUCCACACAAGUUACAUCGAACAGAGUUGUGCAACAAAGGUCAAAGGGUUGUACUUCCUCAGUUAUUCCAGUUUAUGUGUCAACUGUUGAUGAACCAAAUAAAGAGAAGCUUGUAUAUGCCCUGCUCGACACUCAAAGCGACACCACUUUCAUCCUGAAAGACACAGCUGAGACAUUACGGACAAAGUCUGAGCCAGUCAAACUCAAGAUUUCCACAAUGACAUCUAAAACAAAGAUUGUGUCAAGUUACAAGUUAAAGGACCUACAAGUAAGAGGCAUGAACUCUGAAAUGAGAAUCAAGUUACCAACAACCUAUACUAGAGACUACAUUCCUGCCAACAGGUCUCAUAUUCCCACAAGUCAAACGGCAGAGAAUUGGUCCCAUUUGAAACAUCUAUCAAAGGAGAUGGCACCCAAGCUUGACUGUGAAGUCGGAUUACUGAUUGGAUAUAAUUGUCCUCAAGCUUUACUCCCACUAGAGGUGGUCAGUGGUGAGAGAAACCAGCCAUUUGCACAGAAAUCCCUGCUUGGUUGGAGCAUCAUCGGCUACACUGACACUGGAGAAGAUUAUGAAGAUGAAAUAGGAGUAAGUCACCGUGUCAUUGUAAAACAAGUCUCACCAGUUCUUGAAACAAGUCAUAACCUCAAAACUGAAGUCCACUUUGUGAGUCGAAACGAAGUAAAAGAAAUCACUCCGGCAGAGAUAGUCAAAGUGCUGGAAAUGGACUUUGUUGAAAGGACUAUUGAAGAAGACUCUAUGUCACAAGAAGAUUUACUGUUUCUGGCCAAAGUAAAAGAAGGCAUCAAACACAAACAAGAUGGCCACUUUGAAAUGCCACUACCAUUCAAAGAGGAAAGACCUGAAUUACCAAAUAACAGACUUUGUGCAGAACACAGGCUAAAGUGUUUGGAAAGACGUCUCAGGAAGGAUGAGCGCUACUUCAAAGACUAUGUAGCAUUUAUGCAAGACAUCAUACAGAGAAGCAAUGCUGAGAAAGUGCCAGAGGCUGAGCUAAGUAAUCAACCAGCAUGGUAUAUUCCUCAUCAUGGCAUUUACCAUCCGCAGAAGCCAAAUAAGAUACGCGUUGUCUUCGAUUGCUCGGCAAGGUUUCAGAAUACAUCAUUGAACGAGCAUCUCCUGUCAGGACCAGAUCUCACAAACACACUCGUAGGAGUUCUGUGUCGCUUCAGGAAAGGACAAGUAGCAAUCAUGUGCGACGUCGAGCGCAUGUUCCACCAAUUUCAUGUUGCCUCACAAGAUCAAGAUUACCUCAGAUUCCUAUGGUGGGAGGAUGGUAACAUGCAAAGGCCACCAUCAGUGUAUCGCAUGAGAGUCCACCUGUUUGGCGCAGCGUCCUCGCCUGGAUGUGCAAACUUUGGAUUGAAACAUCUAGCCGCCAAAGGUGAAACCAAGUUCAGCCAAGUCGUAGUGAAGUUCAUACAGCGCAACUUCUACGUGGACGAUGGUUUGGCAAGUGUCGACUCAGAACAAGAAGCUAUACAGCUUGUAAAAGAAGCAAGAGAACUUUGUGAUACAGGAAAGCUGCACCUGCACAAGUUCAUUAGCAACAGUAAAGAAGUACUUGAUACUAUUCCAAAGGAAGAAUGUGCAGCAGGUGCUACUGACCUGGAUCUUGCACUAGGAGAGCCGAAGAUGGAAAGGGCCUUAGGGGUCCAGUGGUGUGUAACAUCAGACACAUUUCGCUUCAGAGUUGUCAUAAAGAACAACCCCUUCACUAGAAGAGGAGUGCUCUCCACAGUGGCCUCAAUAUUUGAUCCACUUGGAUUCGUUGCCCCUUUCAUUCUCGUUGGCAAAAGAAUCCUCCAAAGAAUGUGUCAGGAUAAACUGGACUGGGACGAGCCACUUCCAGAAGAUCUCAAGCCUCAAUGGGAAGCUUGGCUCAGAGACCUCCAGAACCUGUCCACUAUCAAGAUACCACGUUGUUAUGUCCCAUCAACAUUCGACCAAGUACAACAGUAUGAGCUACACAGCUUUUCUGAUGCAAGUGUAUCUGGUUACGGCGUGUGCUCGUACCUAAGAACUGUGACAAAGUCUGGAGAAGUACAUUGCGCCCUUGUAAUGGGGAAAGCAAGAGUUGCUCCUACUAAAGUGACAACGAUUCCAAGAUUGGAGCUUUCAGCGGCGGUAGUAGCUGCAAGGACUGCUAGCUUUCUCAAAACAGAGUUAGAGAUCCAAGACAUUCAGCAAUACUACUGGACCGAUUCCAAAGUUGUCCUUGGUUACAUCAACAAUGACGCCAGACGAUUUCACGUAUUCGUUGCUAACAGAAUACAGCGCAUCAGAUCAAGUACCGAACCAAGUCAAUGGCAAUAUGUUGCCUCUGAACAAAAUCCCGCUGAUCAUGCAUCGCGUGGAGUCAUGACAAAGGAACUAGUGGAGUCCAACUGGUUCACAGGACCAAGUUUUCUGUGGGAAAAAGACAUUCCAAAAGAAGAUAUCAAAGUGAAAGAGAUUAGCAUUGAAGAUCCAGAGCUCAAGGUCACGCAAGUUUUCACAGUCCAAGCAAAAGAGCAGAAAUCCAUCUCAGAAAGACUCGAAAAGUUCUCUGAUUGGACAAGAGCUGUGAAAGCAAUUGCAAGAUUAAGAAGACGUGUAAAGUAUGUAAAGAACUCUAAAGAAAUGUCCAAUGAAAGUACUACACUGGAAGAAAGACAAGAAGCGGAGGAGUUCAUCAUACGCACAGUCCAACAAGAAGCAUUCAGUAAAGAAAUCAAGUCACUCAAGGAUAAGAAAGAAGUCAAAUCAUGCCACUCUAAACUGCACCAGCUAAGUCCAUUCCUUGACAAGCAAGAUAUCGUCAGGGUGGGAGGAAGACUAACAAAAGCGUCACUCCAUCCCAACAUCAAACAUCCAGCUAUCAUGCCAAAGGAGCAUCAUCUGUCACGUCUGCUCAUUAAACACUAUCAUGAGAAGAUACAUCAUCAGGGUCGAGGAAUGACCAUCAAUGAGAUACGUGCCAAUGGUAUUUGGAUAAUUGGUUGCAGUACAGAAGUGUCAUCAUUCAUAUACAAAUGUGUCAAAUGCAGAAAAUACAGGAAAUACAACCAAGAACAAAGGAUGGGCGACCUGCCAUCUGAAAGACUAGAAGCUACCCCUCCAUUCACAUACAGUGGUAUGGACUGCUUCGGACCAUUUUGUGUGAAGGAAGGGAGGAAAGAAGUGAAGAGAUAUGGACUCUUAUUUACAUGUAUGUGUUCGAGAGCUAUCCAUAUAGAAGUCUUGGAUGAUCUUAGCACAGACUGUUUUCUUAAUGCUCUUCGAUGCUUCAUUGCAAUUCGUGGAAAAGUCAGCCAGUUGAAUUGUGAUCAAGGCACUAAUUUUAUUGGUGCAAGAAAUGAGCUUCUAACACAAGAAACCAAAGAAAAGGUCAAAGAACUGGGAAUCAGUUUCAUAUUCAACCCACCUGCUUCAAGUCACAUGGGAGGAGUCUGGGAGAGACAGAUUCGAACAAUACGAAAUGUUCUCAGAUCCAUUCUCGACCAGUCAACUUCAAGAUUAGACACUUCAUCGUUGCGAACAUUCAUGUAUGAAGCUAUGGCGAUAGUGAAUAGCCGUCCACUAUCAGUCGAGUGCAUCAACGAUCCAGUCGGACCAGAGCCACUCACACCAAAUCAUAUUUUGACAAUGAAAUCAACAGUGAUAUCACCACCGCCCGGAGAAUUCGUCAAAGAAGAUCUCUACCUGCAGAAAAGAUGGAAAAGAGUGCAGUAUUUGGCGAACAUAUUUUGGACUAGAUGGAGAAAGGAAUAUCUGUUAAACCUGCAACAGAGAAGUAAGUGGAAUAAGAACAGAAGAAACACAAAAGUCAAUGACAUUGUUCUUCUACAAGAAGAUUGUGUUCCAAGAAACCAGUGGAAACUCGCCAAGGUCGUAGAAGUCACUCCAGGAGCUGACGACAGAGUCAGAAAGGUCAAGCUUCUCAUCAGUGACACUACUCGGGACAAUAAAGGAGCACGUUCAACUAAGACUGUUUUAGAAAGGCCAAUACAUAAGACUAUACUUUUGCUAGAAGCAGAGUAAGGACUUAUAAGUGUGUUUAUUUGCUAAAGUUCGUAAGUUCAUGUUGUGUUAACUUCUAUUUAGGAUCACACAUACAGUAGAAGUAGUGUGAUGGUGGGAGUGUAACAGCUGCUGAAGUAAAGUUAACUUCAUCGUUUUACCACUAGGAGGAGCUGUCGCAUUGGUAAUGCUAAAAGUAAUUUGCUUGGUGCGCAGUUAAUUUGUAUAAAUAUUGUUUUUAUUUUCCUAAUAUUGUAAAGUGCUUAUUAGGCCAAGGUAAUGCAUACUAGUGAUAAUAAUUGGGUUUAAACUAAUAUAAAAAUUGUAAAUGCUAAGUCAUGUGAGAGGGCACGGCCAGGUUACUUCCUGUUUUGUUGCUAAGCUAAAGAGAAGCAGCCGACACGGCAGACAAGGCUCCCGACCGAGUGUUAAAUAAAAGUAUAAAAGAAAAGAAAUAAGCAACUUCCCAAGUUCACACCGUUUGCUCACUUAGCAGGCCAAAGUGUUCUACGGUGUACUCUGUGAUGUUAAAGCCUCAAGAAAGUCACAGUAAAACAUCAGUAAAAGAAAAGAA